ACCUACACCACAGCUCACGGCAAUGCUGGAUCCCCAACCCGCUGAGCGAGGCCAGGGAUCAAACCCACAACCUCAUGGUUCCUAGUUGGAUUCGUUAACCACUGCGCCGUGACAAGAACUCCUUUUUUUUUUUUUUUUCAAGUAAGGUUAUAUAAAGUUCCCAAGGGAAUUAUAAACUUUGUAAACACAUUUUAAAAACUCCAGUAUUAUAAAUCUAAUCAAUAUAAAUAUGCUGAUGGCAAUAAGCAUCAAUUAAAAUAUAUCCUGGACACUUUCAUCAGUCUUCUACAAGAAGUUUUGAAAGAGACGGUAUGCACAGUUCAGGUCUCUGAGGGAACUGUCAGAGCAGGUUUGGGAUGAUGACUUCUUAUUCAUCAGCUACUCUAUCAAACAGAGAGGUGGUCGGUGAAAAUUUACUACUGACUGUGACAAUUAAAAAGAUGACAAUGGUAUUUCAUACUGACAAAUUCAUUCUAAAAGAUUAACUCUAUGUUUUACUCUCCUUACCUUCCUGAAUCUUCUUACUUCAGCUGUAGUAAUAAUAGUAGCAGCAGCAGCAAAGAUGUAGUGAGUGCUUACUACAUGUUAGGCAUUAUUCUAAGUCCUUCAUAUGCAUUAACUCAUUUAAUUCCGUCCAAACCCUUUUUUUUUUCUUUUUAGGGCUGCACCUGCCACGUAUGGAGGUUCCCAGAUCAUGGGUCCAAUCGGAGCUACAGCUGCCAGCCUAUACCACGGCUACAGCAACAGGGGAUCCGAGCCACGUCUGCGACCUACGCCACAGCUCACGGCAAUGCCAGAUCCUUAACCCACUGAGUGAGGCCAAGGGUUGAACCCACAACCUCAUAGUUCCUAUUCAGAUUUGUUUCUGCUGCUCCAUUGCAGGAACUCCUUUUUUUUUUUUCUUUUCCAAACCCUAUUCUAACAAUAGCUACUGGCUCCAUAGCAUUAACUAUGUGCCAGCAGUUGUUUAAGCACUUUACGUAUAUUAAUUCCAUUAAGUCUCACAGGAGAUCAGUGAUGAAGGUAUAAUUGUUAACCCCUUCAUAGGGAGGGGAAGAGUGAGCUUGAAAGAUGUUAAACUUACUCAAGACUACAAAGCUCAGCAUCAGGCAAAAUCAAGGUACCAGGAAGUAGCAAAUGUCAUUCUACCGCCUCUUUUUUUUAUUCUUGGUGUCACAGAUUCUGCGUGAUUUUGCAUUGCAUUAAAAGCUCUAAUAAUAAAUAUACCAAACUGUCAAAAGAGCCUUGAAAUCACCAUCGCAGAAUUGCUAAAAUGAUCACAAUAUCCUGAAAAGGCUUGAUCUGUUUUCUUUUUCAAUCUGAACAUUUUGUUGAGUAGCUUCUCAUUUGUGUCUGGAUAUAUGUGUGGAUUUGUGUUUGUGCAGCAGAGAGAUUGUGAGAUAUUGAGAGAGAGAACUGAAUCUGCUGUAGCCAUCUAUCUUGCACCAAGAGGGGAGGUAGCCAAAACACUGAGAAGGGCAAAGGAGGAAGAAUCUGGUUUUUUGAUGACACAGUUGAGCAGCUGAGCUAUCCAAGCCUGGAAUCACCAUACCUCUCUUACAUAAGCAAUAGUUUUAUUGUAUAAGCAACUUCCGCUUUGGGUUUCUAUACUUGGAAUGAAAAUAUCUUUUUAUUUUUGUCUUUUUGCCAUUUCUUGGGCUGCUCCUGCGGCAUAUGGAGGUUCCCAGGCUAGGGAUCUAAUCGGAGCUGUAGCCACCGGCCUACACCACAGCCACAGCAAUGCGGGAUCCGAGCCGUGUCUGCAAACUACACCACAGCUCACGGCAAUGCCGGAUCCUUAACCCACUGAGCAAGGCCAGGGAUCAAACCCGCAACCUCAUGGUUCCUAGUCGGAUUCGUUAACCACUGUGCCAUGACGGGAGCUCCUGGAAUGAAAAUAUCUUAACAGAUACAUUAACUACUCACACUUCCUCACGUAUUUCUAUUUCAACUUUCUUGUCUUGGUGUACUCUUCAGAGAUACACACACACACACACACACACACGUCUCUCUAUGAAUCAGUGCAAUACCAAACAAUCCCCCAAUAGGGCUUAAAUCAGCACACAUUUAUUUCUUGCCUGAAUCCACUGUAAAUUGGCUCUUUGUCAUAAUUCCUCUGAGACCAAGACUGAAGGAGAAGCCUAAGCAAAAAUAAAAAACGCAUGUCACUUCAACAGGAGGAAAAGAGAAGUCCUGAGGAUCUCACCCUGGUGACUGAAUGCAGCGACACACCUCACUUCCGCUUACAAUUCACUAGCCAGAACUAGUACACACCCCUGUGUAACUACAGGGGGCACAGGAAAUGCCAGGCGGGCAAUGGGCCCAUGUGCCCGGAAGGAGGGAAUGGCACGAACGACUACCAAAGCCUACACAGCGCUGGAGCUCCUAAAUAUGGCACUUCACCUGAGGCGGGAAGAGUGGCAGGAGACAAGGGUGGGAAAGGGAUUUUGCGCUUUUUUUUUUUUAAUUUUAUACCAUUUUGAUAGCAUUUGGAUUGUCUUAAACUUUUAAAACUGAAAUAGAAGACACAGAGAUAAGCUCACAGAUCAUAAAAGUUCGGCUCAAUGAACUAUCAUGAGGUGAACUCAUGUGUACAAUUACCACCUGCAUCAAAAAAUAACACAUUGUCUGCACCUUUGUGACCCUUUCAAUCUCUGCCUCCAUCCUUCCUCCCAAAGUUAUGCUGAUUCCUGAUCCCAUGGACUCAAACAUUUUUUUUCUUUUUACAGCUGCACCUGUGGCACGUGAACAUCCCCAGGCUAGGAGUCUAAGGAGAGCUGCAGCUGCCACAGCCACGGCAACAGCAGAUCCAAGCCGUGUCUCCAACCUGUGUUGCAGCUUGCAGCGACAGCAGAUUCUUAACCCACUGAGCAAGGCCAGGGAUGGAACUCGAAUGUUCACAGACACUAUGUUGGAUUCUUAACCUGCUGAACCACAACAGGAACUCUUAACCCCACGGAUUAAAAAUUAAAAAGAAAUGAAUAUUUAUAAAACUUAUCCUGAGGGAAGUAGAUGAAAACAUCUCCUUGGGGUUUCUCUAAACCCAGGGGAGAAUAAGCAGGCUAUUAUUUUGAAUGACCGAAACUCCCAGGAGGUAAAGAGUGGGCAGAGAGGUAGCUGGGCCCAGGGAGAACUGGGUUCUUUGAGACUCAGAGGAUGGAAGGUUCUGUGAGUAGAGGAGAUGGUAUCUGCCCCCAGCCUCCCUCAAGGUGUCAGGACCUCUGAUGACAUAGCUCAUGGCUCCUUAGAGCUCACCACUGGCUCAUCCUUGACCUUGGCGCCUUGUCACCUGGGCUGAGGCAGACUGGAAUGUCAACAGGCUUCUCUGUGGCAUCUGUGCUCCACAGACGACAGAGUAGCAGGCUCAACCUUGGCACUGGGAAAUCAUAGGAAGAGAAGCAAUAGCACUGACCUUGGAGUAAAGGCCGAGGCCCCCCUCCCCCUGCUACCCCAUUUCUGUAAGCCCUCAGGCUUCCUGUUCUACACAGUCAGGAGAUACUGGUGUUGGUAGUAGGUGUCCUGAUAAUAACUGCCUUAGGAUGGUUUCCCAGGCAGGGAGGUGAAGGCACAAAUCUGAAUAUAAUUCAGCUUCAGAAACAAUACAAGGAGUUCCUCUUGUGGCUCAUCAGGUUAAGAACCUGACACAGUGUCCAUGAGGAUACAGGUUCAAUCCCUGGCCUCACUCAGUGGGUUAAGGAUCUGGUGUUGCCUCAAGCUGUACUGUAGGUUGCAGAUGUGGCUUGGAUUCUGUGUUGCCAUGGCUAUGGUGUAGGCCUGCAGCUGCAGCUCCCAUUCAACCCCUCCCCUGGGAGCUUCCAUAUGCUGCAGGUGCAGCCAUAAAAAGCAAAAUAAACAAACAAAUAAAGAGCGAAAGAAACCAAACCAAACCAUCCAUUUCUCCCUCUGCCAGGUGGGCUGUGAACGCACACCUUCCUCACUACCCAGUUUCACCCCUACGGUGGAGACGUCCAGCUCUGCUCUUGGUACUGUAUAUUUUCGGAGACCUGGUGCCUAUUCUAGUUCCUACUCUGUACCACGUCUUGAAGUAAACCUGGAGUGGGCACAUAAUGAGUGUAUCACUCAGGGUUUAACUA
rnacentral:lncRNA from 1 species